AGCCCUGCAGUGUAAGACAUACAGGUUUGCAAAUCCUGAGUAGCGACUUAGUUGACGCCGGGGCUU
rnacentral:tRNA from 1 species